UUCGCCCUUAGAGUUUGAUCCUGGCUCAGGACGAACGCUGGCGGCGCGCCUAACACAUGCAAGUCGAACGAGAGAGAAGGAGCUUGCUUCUUCGAUCGAGUGGCGAACGGGUGAGUAACGCGUGAGGAACCUGCCUCAAAGAGGGGGACAACAGUUGGAAACGACUGCUAAUACCGCAUAAGCCCACGGGUCGGCAUCGACCUGAGGGAAAAGGAGUGAUCCGCUUUGAGAUGGCCUCGCGUCCGAUUAGCUAGUUGGUGAGGUAAUGGCCCACCAAGGCAACGAUCGGUAGCCGGACUGAGAGGUUGAACGGCCACAUUGGGACUGAGACACGGCCCAGACUCCUACGGGAGGCAGCAGUGGGGAAUAUUGCACAAUGGGGGAAACCCUGAUGCAGCGACGCCGCGUGGAGGAAGAAGGUCUUCGGAUUGUAAACUCCUGUUGUUGAGGAAGAUAAUGACGGUACUCAACAAGGAAGUGACGGCUAACUACGUGCCAGCAGCCGCGGUAAAACGUAGGUCACAAGCGUUGUCCGGAAUUACUGGGUGUAAAGGGAGCGCAGGCGGGAAGACAAGUUGGAAGUGAAAUCUAUGGGCUCAACCCAUAAACUGCUUUCAAAACUGUUUUUCUUGAGUAGUGCAGAGGUAGGCGGAAUUCCCGGUGUAGCGGUGGAAUGCGUAGAUAUCGGGGAGGAACACCCAGUGGCGAAGGCGGCCUACUGGGCACCAACUGACGCUGAGGCUCGAAAGUGUGGGUAGCAAACAGGAUUAGAUACCCUGGUAGUCCACACCGUAAACGAUGAUUACUAGGUGUUGGAGGAUUGACCCCUUCAGUGCCGCAGUUAACACAAUAAGUAAUCCACCUGGGGAGUACGACCGCAAGGUUGAAACUCAAAGGAAUUGACGGGGGCCCGCACAAGCAGUGGAGUAUGUGGUUUAAUUCGACGCAACGCGAAGAACCUUACCAAGUCUUGACAUCCCUUGACGAACAUAGAAAUAUGUUUUCUCUUCGGAGCAAGGAGACAGGUGGUGCAUGGUUGUCGUCAGCUCGUGUCGUGAGAUGUUGGGUUAAGUCCCGCAGCGAGCGCAACCCUUAUGGUCAGUUACUACGCAAGAGGACUCUGGCCAGACUGCCGUUGACAAAACGGAGGAAGGUGGGGAUGACGUCAAAUCAUCAUGCCCUUUAUGACUUGGGCUACACACGUACUACAAUGGCGUUAAACAAAGAGAAGCAAGACCGCGAGGUGGAGCAAAACUCAGAAACAACGUCCCAGUUCGGACUGCAGGCUGCAACUCGCCUGCACGAAGUCGGAAUUGCUAGUAAUCGUGGAUCAGCAUGCCACGGUGAAUACGUUCCCGGGCCUUGCACUCACCGCCCGUCA
rnacentral:rRNA from 1 species